rnacentral:rRNA from 1 species
CAGCACCUCAAGUGGUCAGGAUGAUUAUUGGGCCUAAAGCAUCCGUAGCCGGCUCUGUAAGUUUUCGGUUAAAUCUGUACGCUCAACGUACAGGCUGCCGGGAAUACUGCAGAGCUAGGGAGUGGGAGAGGUAGACGGUACUCGGUAGGAAGGGGUAAAAUCCUUUGAUCUAUUGAUGACCACCUGUGGCGAAGGCGGUCUACCAGAACACGUCCGACGGUGAGGGAUGAAAGCUGGGGGAGCAAACCGGAUUAGAUACACGCGUAGUCC